rnacentral:tRNA from 2 species
GGAGGGAUGUCCGAAUUGGCAAGGAGCCGGUCCUGAAAACCGGUGAAAGGCGCAAGCCCGUCUGGGUUCGAGUCCCAGUCCCUCCGCCA